rnacentral:rRNA from 1 species
CCUACGGGAGGCAGCAGUGGGGAAUAUUGGACAAUGGGCGAAAGCCUGAUCCAGCAAUGCCGCGUGAGUGAUGAAGGCCUUCGGGUCGUAAAGCUCUUUUACCAGGGAUGAUAAUGACAGUACCUGGAGAAUAAGCUCCGGCUAACUCCGUGCCAGCAGCCGCGGUAAUACGGAGGGAGCUAGCGUUGUUCGGAAUUACUGGGCGUAAAGAGUACGUAGGCGGUUAUUCAAGUCAGAGGUGAAAGCCCGGGGCUCAACCCCGGAACUGCCUUUGAAACUAGAUAACUAGAGUCUUGGAGAGGUUAGUGGAAUUCCGAGUGUAGAGGUGAAAUUCGUAGAUAUUCGGAAGAACACCAGUGGCGAAGGCGACUAACUGGACAAGUACUGACGCUGAGGUACGAAAGCGUGGGGAGCAAACAGGAUUAGAUACCCUGGUAGUCCACGCCGUAAACGAUGAUAACUAGUUGUUCGGUCACUUGGUGACUGAGUGACGCAGCUAACGCAUUAAGUUAUCCGCCUGGGGAGUACGGUCGCAAGAUUAAAACUCAAAGAUAGUAGCGUGAGACGNGCGACGACGACACAGGGAGUAGG